UACGAAGGGGCUAGCGUUGCUCGGAAUCACUGGGCGUAAAGGGUGCGUAGGCGGGUCUUUAAGUCAGGGUGAAUCCUGGAGCUCAACUCCAGAACUGCCUUUGAUACUGAAGAUCUUGAGUUCGGGAGAGGUGAGUGGAACUGCGAGUGUAGAGGUGAAAUUCGUAGAUAUUCGCAAGAACACCAGUGGCGAAGGCGGCUCACUGGCCCGAUACUGACGCUGAGGCACGAAAGCGUGGGGAGCAACAGG
rnacentral:rRNA from 1 species